CGUACCAGUCCUUAACUGACGCUAAAGCUCGAAAGUGCGGGUAUCGAACAGGAUUAGAUACCCUGGUAGUCCGCACGGUAAACGAUGGAUGCCCGCUGUUUGCGAUAUAUUGUAAGCGGCCAAGCGAAAGCGUUAAGCAUCCCACCUGGGGAGUACGCCGGCAACGGUGAAACUCAAAGGAAUCGACGGGGGCCCGCACAAGCGGAGGAACAUGUGGUUUAAUUCGAUGAUACGCGAGGAACCUUACCCGGGCUUGAACUGCCGGUGAACGAUACAGAGAUGUUGAGGCCCUUCGGGGCGCCGGUGGAGGUGCUGCAUGGUUGUCGUCAGCUCGUGCCGUGAGGUGUCGGCUUAAGUGCCAUAACGAGCGCAACCCCUUUCUUCAGUUGCCAUCAGGUUAAGCUGGGCACUCUGGAGACACUGCCACCGUAAGGUGCGAGGAAGGUGGGGAUGACGUCAAAUCAGCACGGCCCUUACGUCCGGGGCUACACACGUGUUACAAUGGGUGAUACAGAGAGUUGGGUGCCGGCAACGUCGCUCUAAUCUUCAAAGUCAUCCUCAGUUCGGAUUGGGGUCUGCAACCCGACCCCAUGAAGCUGGA
rnacentral:rRNA from 1 species